rnacentral:rRNA from 1 species
UCUGACCCUAGUACGAGAGGACCGGGUUGGACGAACCUCUGGUGUGCCAGUUGUUCUGCCAAGAGCACCGCUGGUUAGCUACGUUCGGGAUGGAUAACCGCUGAAAGCAUCUAAGCGGGAAGCCGGCCUCAAGAUGAGAUUUCCAUGCCUUCGGGCGAGAGGCUCCCAGCCAGACUACUGGGUUGAUAGGCGAGAUGUGGAAGCGUGGUAACACGUGCAGCUGACUCGUACUAAUAAGCCGAUGACUUGAUAAC